UACGAAGGGGGCUAGCGUUGUUCGGAAUCACUGGGCGUAAAGGGCGCGUAGGCGGCUUUGUAAGUCGGGGGUGAAAGCCUGUGGCUCAACCACAGAAUUGCCUUCGAUACUGUAUGGCUUGAGACCGGAAGAGGUAAGUGGAACUGCGAGUGUAGAGGUGAAAUUCGUAGAUAUUCGCAAGAACACCAGUGGCGAAGGCGGCUUACUGGUCCGGUUCUGACGCUGAGGCGCGAAAGCGUGGGGAGCAAACAGG
rnacentral:rRNA from 1 species